GGUGCCGUGUUACGUCCAGGCCCAGGUUCAGGGCGUGACACUCAUAAUUUCAGUAGUGAACAUUGGAAUGCUCUUCAUCAUUUGUUAAGGGCAAGAAGCUGAGUUGUUGAGAAACCUUUUAGCAGAUGUGCCAUUGUAGGGAAGACAAACUUCACCGGUCUCUUUACAUUGUGAUUCACAAGUGGCAAUUGAAUUGCAAAGAACUGUGUAUACGAUGGAAAACUGAGACAUAUUCGCAUCAGACAUGGUGCAGUUAAACAGUUGUUAAAACAUGGUGUUAUCUCCUUGGAAUAUGUAAGAUAUGAAAGAAAUUUAGCGGAUCCUUUAACCAAGGGUUUAGCAAGGUAAAUGAUCCUUGAAACGUCGAGGGGGAUGGGGCUAAAGCCUAUGGAUUGAGGUAAUAUGGUGGAUGCCUGUUUGUGGUCAAACGAAGCCAUAUAGGCCAUCAAUAUACACUAAAUUUCCUAUCCCUGUGGCGUAUAGUGGUGUUUAUAAGGUUGACGAUUUUAUUUUUUUUGCUCUUAAUGAUUCCAUAGUCUUAAGGUGGUCUAUGAGAUAGACUUGAUGGAAUCACUUACGUGAGUGUAAAGGUGUGGUCACCUUUUAUGAAAGACUUUCAUUAACCCAAGGAUGUGUGCAUGACCAUAAAAGCACUUUUGUGAGUAUCGCGGAGUUUGCAUAAAAUUAAGGAUAUAGUAUAUAUUGUGGGCGUCUCAACUCAUGUCCAUUUAGUUUGAGUACUUCACUUUUUGGAUAUUUGUUUUGCCUCAUUUCGCUACGUGUUAAUUUAAAUUGAAAGAUAUUAACACUUAAGUACAUGUUCCUUCUUUUGUCCAGAAAUUAUUCCCAUUCUUUAUCUUUGCA